UACGUAGGAUGCGAGCGUUGUCCGGAAUUAUUGGGCGUAAAGAGAACGUAGGCGGCCGUCUAAGUUCGGUCUUAAAGACCGGGGCUCAACCCCGGGAAUGGACUGAAGACUGGGCGGCUGGAGGAUGUCAGAGGAAGGUGGAAUUCCCAGUGUAGCGGUGAAAUGCGUAGAUAUUGGGAGGAACACCUGUGGCGAAAGCGGCCUUCUGGGGCAUUCCUGACGCUGAGGUUCGAAAGCUCGGGGAGCAAACAGG
rnacentral:rRNA from 1 species